rnacentral:rRNA from 1 species
GAACGGAGAAAGUAACUGCACUGGGCUUUUAGGUGAGUGCGGGAAGGGAAAAGGGAAGCACAAGGGUAAAGGCUGAGUGCAGAUACUUUCUUAGUGGCGGACGGGUGAGUAACACGUGAGCAACCUGGCUUUCAGAGGGGGAUAACGUCUGGAAACGGACGCUAAAACCGCAUAAAAUCCUUGGCGGGCAUCCGCAGGGGAUCAAAUGAGAAAUCAGCUGAAAGAUGGGCUCGCGGCCGAUUAGGCAGUUGGCGGGGUAACGGCCCACCAAACCGACGAUCGGUAGCCGGACUGAGAGGUUGAACGGCCACAUUGGGACUGAGACACGGCCCAGACUCCUACGGGAGGCAGCAGUGGGGGAUAUUGCACAAUGGGGGGAACCCUGAUGCAGCGACGCCGCGUGAGGGAAGAAGGUUUUCGGAUUGUAAACCUCUGUCUUUGGUGACGAGAGUGACGGUAGCCAAGGAGGAAGCCACGGCUAACUACGUGCCAGCAGCCGCGGUAAUACGUAGGUGGCAAGCGUUGUCCGGAAUUACUGGGUGUAAAGGGAGCGUAGGCGGGAGAUCAAGUUGGACGUUAAAUUCAUCGGCUCAACCGGUGCAAGCGUUCAAAACUGGUUUUCUUGAGUGGAGUAGAGGUAAGCGGAAUUCCUAGUGUAGCGGUGAAAUGCGUAAAUAUUAGGAGGAACACCAGUGGCGAAGGCGGCUUACUGGGCUUUAACUGACGCUGAGGCUCGAAAGCGUGGGUAGCAAACAGGAUUAGAUACCCUGGUAGUCCAUGCUGUAAACGAUGAUUACUAGGUGUGGGGGGACUGACCCCUUCCGUGCCGGAGUAAGCACAAUAAGUAAUCCACCUGGGGAGUACGACCGCAAGGUUGAAACUCAAAGGAAUUGACGGGGGCCCGCACAAGCAGUGGAGUAUGUGGUUUAAUUCGACGCAACGCGAAGAACCUUACCAGGUCUUGACAUCGGACGCAUAGCUAAGAGAUUAGCGAAGUCCUUUCGGGGACGUCCAGACAGGUGGUGCAUGGUUGUCGUCAGCUCGUGUCGUGAGAUGUUGGGUUAAGUCCCGCAACGAGCGCAACCCUUAUGUUUAGUUACUACGAAAGAGGACUCUAGACAGACUGCCGUUGACAAAACGGAGGAAGGUGGGGAUGACGUCAAAUCAUCAUGCCCUUUAUGACCUGGGCAACACACGUACUACAAUGGCUAUGAACAAAGGGAAGCAAGCCAGCGAUGGCAAGCAAAACUCAAAAAAUAGUCUCAGUUCAGAUUGCAGGCUGCAACUCGCCUGCAUGAAGGCGGAAUUGCUAGUAAUCGCGGAUCAGCAUGCCGCGGUGAAUACGUUCCCGGGC